rnacentral:rRNA from 1 species
AACGGACGCUGGCGGCGCGCCUAAUACAUGCAAGUCGAGCGAGAAGACGUAGCAAUACGUUUGUAAAGCGGCGAACGGGUGAGGAAUACAUGGGUAACCUACCCUCGAGUGGGGAAUAACUAGCCGAAAGGUUAGCUAAUACCGCGUACGCUCCUUGGACUUCGGUUCAGGGAGGAAAGCGAUACCGUGGGUAUCGCGCUCUUGGAUGGGCUCAUGUCCUAUCAGCUUGUUGGUGAGGAACGGCUCACCAAGGCUUCGACGGGUAGCUGGUCUGAGAGGACGAUCAGCCACACUGGCACUGCGACACGGGCCAGACUCCUACGGGAGGCAGCAGUAAGGAAUAUUGCGCAAUGGGCGAAAGCCUGACGCAGCGACGCCGCGUGGGGGA